AGCAGCCGCGGUAAUUCCAGCUCCAAUAGCGUAUAUUAAAGUUGUUGCAGUUAAAAAGCUCGUAGUUGAAUUUCGGAAUCAGUACGCCGGUCGUGCCUCCGGUAUGAACUGGUGUCACUGGUUCCUCCCUUCUGAAGAACCGUCAUGCCAUUAACUUGGUGUGGCGGGAAAUCAGGACUGUUACUUUGAAAAAAUUAGAGUGUUUAAAGCAGGCUCACGCUUGAAUACAUUAGCAUGGAAUAAUGAAAUAGGACGUUGAUCUUAUUUUGUUGGUUUCUAGGAUUGACGUAAUGAUUAAUAGGGAUAGUUGGGGGCAUUAGUAUUCAAUUGUCAGAGGUGAAAUUCUUGGAUUUAUUGAAGACUAACUACUGCGAAAGCAUUUGCCAAGGAUGUUUUCAUUAAUCAAGAACGAAAGUUAGGGGAUCGAAGACGAUCAGAUACCGUCGUAGUCUUAACCAUAAACUAUGCCGACAAGGGAUCGGAUGAUGUUAAUUUUUUAAUGACUCA
rnacentral:rRNA from 1 species